rnacentral:rRNA from 1 species
GAAUCUUAGACAAUGGGCGCAAGCCUGAUCUAGCCAUGCCGCGUGAGUGAUGAAGGCCUUAGGGUCGUAAAGCUCUUUCGCCAGAGAUGAUAAUGACAGUAUCUGGUAAAGAAACCCCGGCUAACUCCGUGCCCGCAGCCGCGGUAAUACGGAGGGGGUUAGCGUUGUUCGGAAUUACUGGGCGUAAAGCGCACGUAGGCGGAUCAGAAAGUUGGGGGUGAAAUCCCAGGGCUCAACCCUGGAACGGCCUCCAAAACUCCUGGUCUUGAGUUCGAGAGAGGUGAGUGGAAUUCCGAGUGUAGAGGUGAAAUUCGUAGAUAUUCGGAGGAACACCAGUGGCGAAGGCGGCUCACUGGCUCGUUACCGACGCUCAGGCGCGACAGCGUGGGGAGCAAACAGG